UGGGCCUACGGGAGGCAGCAGUGGGGGAUAUUGCACAAUGGAGGAAACUCUGAUGCAGCGACGCCGCGUGAGGGAAGACGGUCUUCGGAUUGUAAACUUCUGUUCUUAGUGAAGAAAAAUGACGGUAGCUAAGGAGCAAGCCACGGCUAACUACGUGCCAGCAGCCGCGGUAAUACGUAGGUGGCAAGCGUUGUCCGGAAUUACUGGGUGUAAAGGGAGCGCAGGCGGGAAGCCAAGUCAGCUGUGAAAACUACGGGCUUAACUUGUAGACUGCAGUUGAAACUGGUUUUCUUGAGUGAAGUAGA
rnacentral:rRNA from 1 species